rnacentral:rRNA from 1 species
CCUACGGGAGGCAGCAGUGAGGAAUAUUGGUCAAUGGGCGUAAGCCUGAACCAGCCAAGCCGCGUGAGCGAAGAAGGUUCUAUGGAUUGUAAACUCCUUUUUUAAGGGAAUAAAGUCAGGGACGUGUCUCGUUUUGUAUGUAUCUUACGAAUAAGGAUCGGCUACCUCCGUGCCAGCAGCCGCGGUAAUACGGAGGAUUCGAGCGUUAUCCGGAUUUAUUGGGUUUAAAGGGUGCGUAGGCGGUCUGUUAAGUCAGCGGUGAAAGUCAGUGGCUCAACCUUAGAAGUGCCGUUGAUACUGGGAGGCUUGAGUGUGUUUGAGGUAGGCGGAAUGCGUGGUGUAGCGGUGAAAUGCUUAGAUAUCACGCAGAACACCGAUUGCGAAGGCAGCUUGCCAAGCCAUGACUGACGCUGAGGCACGAAAGCGUGGGGAGCAAACAGGAUUAGAUACCCGAGUAGUC